rnacentral:lncRNA from 1 species
ACCCUUGGGAGAGUUGCUAUAGAAUGAAUGUUUGUGUCCCCUCAAAUUCAUAUGCUGAAGCCUAAUUCCCCACAUGAUGUAUCUAACCUACUAGGAGAGAUUUAACAAAGGAUCCCAGAAUUACCUAUGGCUAGAAGUGGUCCCUGAAAACUUGCCCCAGAGCCUUUAAGCUCCCUGGAGGUAUCCACUGGGAGACCCACCUCUGUGAGAUAAUAAAGCCAUUAGAGACAAGCAGGUGAUGGCCAGACCCCAGGAUCCCUGCAGAUAUGACCAGGGCUCAGCCUCUGCCUUACUCCAAACUCGAGUAAGAGUUUUCACCCUUACUCUAAACUUUCUGGGAGGAAUUAAUACUUGAGAGAAACAUCAAUAGACUGGAUCUAAUGAGGUUUGGGGACCUGCACUCUCUGCUCACUGGCUGGGUCCAUCCUGCUGCUGACCAAACAGUCCUGUGGCAAAAAUAUCAGAGGGACUUCAAACGUGCAUGUCAGCUGUUUCUCACUGUUGAUGCAGGAAAUGAAGGAUGCAUCUCACACAGACAGUGUAUAUUCACCAAGCACCUAUACUUGCUUGGACUGUGCUAGCCAACCAACACCACUACACUUUCCAUCAUUAUCUGCACCACCAUCAUCAUCGUCACCAUCAGCAUCAUCGUCAUACUCCAUUGUUCAUGAGGGUUCUACCUGCAUUGAAGUUCACAGAUCAUUGCCAUGGAGGAUUCAGAAAUCCCACAGCAAGCUCUUGAUUUCUUAGAGGACGAUAGCUGCGAGAGGAAGAAGCCCCUCCUGCCAAGAGUUAACUCCCAUGUGUGACUGGCCUCAGGCACCGUAGUGACUUGGUGAACUUCCUGGGGUCUACUGGAAGAGAAGCAGGUGCACCCUCAGGCUGUGCCACUCGGGGAUGAGCAGUUUGGCUUCAUGAGAGGCCCUUCAGGGGGCCUGGCACACUGUGGGGCAGUGAGAGUGACACAUUCCACACUGCCAGCUUUUAGCCUAAUAUUGAGAUGCUAGAGUCAAACACCAUCGUGAGAGAAGUCAGUGACUGAGAGGACUGAAGAGAGAAGAAUGUUCACUGAGCUUCAUGGAAGAGUGGAUGUAUGCAUUCCAGGUUCCCAGCAUAUCUUCCUAAGUGGGUUAAUUCUGUGAACUACUGUCAGCUCCCCUCCCUCACAGGCCAGCGUGAACCAAAGGGGCAGGUGGUAAAUCCUGGAUUUACAGUUUAUGGCAUGUUGUUGAGCAGCACCCAAUGUCUCUGGUCUCCAGUUUCUUCUAUAAAAUGCUUGAGUAAAGUAGAUUCUCUCUCAGCCCCGUGUCAUUCCACAGGCCAGUAACUCAACAGGGAUUAUAACUAAGGGUAGAAACAAGUAAGAUAAAGCUAAUCUUGCACUUAGGUUGAGAGAUCAACAAUAGAUUUGUUCCCGUUUUAAAAUAUUUUGUCACCUCAUUUGGAAAUAGCAGGCACUCCAGAUUCAGGCAUUCUGGCUAAGGUCCCAGCUAUGUGACUUAAGCUCUCUGGAGCUCUCUAAGCCUCAGUUUCUGCUUCUAUAGAAAAAGGGGUUCAUGGUUAUUGUGAAAACUCAUAAAUACUAAAUUUCAGAGACCAGCAUAGAACAAGCAUAGAUCCUCAACAGACGAUGAUGAUGAUAACUCAGAGCAUAGAAUGUGCUGCAUUAUUAAAAGG